AAAAUUAACGCCAUCUUUUCUAUUUACCACUCGCAUUCCCUUCGAAACCCUAGCCCUCUUUUUUUCUUUGUCGAGCUCCAGCCUCAUUUUUUGUCUCCCAGACAUAUUUUUUCCGAUCACUCUCGCAUCAAAUUCCCAACCUAAAAUAAGCGACAUGGGUUCUAAAUCCAGGAGCGAUAACCCACACUCCGGAGAUGGUGCUAGCCCUGGGAAGAUUUUCAUCGGAGGAUUGGCUAAGGAUACCACAUAUGCUACCUUUAACAAGCAUUUUGGGAAAUAUGGGGAGAUAACUGAUUCAGUGAUCAUGAAAGAUCGGUACACAGGUCAGCCUAGGGGUUUUGGUUUUAUUACCUAUGCCGAUCCUUCAGUUGUUGAUAAGGUUAUUGAAGACACCCACAUCAUCAAUGGGAAACAGGUUGAGAUAAAGCGGACCAUUCCUAAAGGUUCUGGGCAAUCAAAGGAUUUUAAAACCAAGAAGAUAUUUGUUGGUGGAAUUCCAUCAUCAGUUACAGAAGAUGAGCUCAAGAAUUUCUUUUCGAAAUAUGGGAAAGUGGUGGAGCACCAGAUUAUACGGGAUCAUGAAACCAAUCGUUCUCGAGGAUUUGGAUUUAUAAUUUUUGACAGUGAAGAAAUUGUAGAUGAAAUGUUAUCUGAAGGAAAUAUGAUUGAUGUGGCUGGAACUCAGGUGAGCUUAUUUAGAUGGCCUGAAAGAAAUAAUAAUAAUGUAAAGAGAUCCUUGUUUGUGGUGCAGCUUUUUUCAUUGCUUUCUCCGUGUUCUUUUUCAAUGCAACCAUACCCUUUUCCCUUCCAUUUAUAGACUCAGUAAAGUCCUGUUAGUUACUUUUCUUAACUAUUUCUGAUUAGCAGUGAAGAUCAUGACAGGUGUAGAUUUCAGGAAAGGGCUCAUGAUAGUUUGCCUGCUGCGGAACCUAGGUUAACUAAGUUGCUUUGUUGUAGGUGGAGAUCAAGAAAGCUGAACCAAAGAAAGCCUCAAACCCACCACCUGCUCCUGCAUAUGGUAGCAACUCUAGGAGUCGUUCUUACAAUGACAGCUUUGGUGGAUUUGGAGGUUCUUAUGGGGGCUUUGAUGGAGGGUUUGGGCCUGGUCCCUAUAGGACUCCUGGGGGUCUGGGUAGUAGAUUUGGUGGUGGUGGUGGAUAUGGCUAUGGUAGUGAUGGCGGAGACUUCGGUGCUGGCUAUGGCAGUUUUGGUGGGAGUAGCUUAGGAGGUUACCGAGGUGAAUCUUCCCUUGGUUAUUCUGGUCGCUUUGGACCUUAUGGUGGUGGGUUUGGUGGGGCUUAUGGUGGUAGUGGUUUAGGUGGUUAUGGUCGGGGAGGUGAGGGAUAUGGAAGUUAUGGAGGUUCUGGUUACGGUGGGGGUUAUGAAUCUGGUCCAGGUGCUAGUUAUGGAGGAGCAGGUGGCCUGUAUGGAAGGGGAGGCUAUAGUGGCAGUAGUCGAUAUCAUCCUUAUGCAAGAUAGAAUGAAGCAUUUCAAUGCAGUUGCUUAAGCUUUGCAUAGAAGUUCCAAACAGGGUCAUCUAGUUUAAAGCAUUGUGAAACAGAUAGGCACUUUCCCACAUGUACUAGAAGUCUCCUAUCUCUGCGAUUGAGGAAAGCUUUUAAGGAUCAGAGGAUCUACUUUAUUAGAUUAUUUUCUUCUAUGUAUGUUUUAGACAGACUUCGUAGUUAUGCUCCAACUUAGUUCUUGGUGUGUCUGGUUUACUUGUUCUAGUUAUUUUAAUAGUCUGUGUUGUAGACAAUAGUAUCUUGGUUUGAAGCUUGAUGCUAUUUAUUUAGUUUGAUCUAGAUAGACGCUUUGUUAAUUUAUACCUGUUUGUUUUUAUAUAUACAGUGUAGCAGUUGGGCGUUUUACAUUGAUAUUUAUUCUUAGCUGGAUUCAGCUAGAUUUGAUUAUUUAUGGAUUAGGCAAACAUUUAAGAUGUGCCAUUCUCUUGCAACUAAGAACUCACUGUAGUUUUAUUUCAACGCCUUAAAAGAAAAAGAAAGAACCAACUAUAGAAUAUUGCAAUAAGAAGUCAUUCUAUAGUGUGUAGUAUGAAUGAACUUGAGACUACUUAGGUAAGCUUUCCAUGCAUUGAAAUUAUACCCGUUAGGACAGGUGAAAAUGAGUGGUGGUGGUUGGUCGCAGAUUGAAUUUACAUUCUUUUGGUUUCCAGGGCAAUUGGUGAUAAAGGGCAGUUUCUCGGCCUUGUUUUUGAAUGCUUUUAAUGUCUUGCUAUUGACCCUUGUCAAGUUUGCUUGGAGGAAACGAAUGGGUUUGUGUUUCUAAAAAUAUUCCAGUUGCAGUGCUUCUACUGCCAAAUGUAAUGUAGCCCAUUGUUUCUUCGAGUAUUUUCACAAUAAAUAUCUACUGUCCUUGGUUAACUUUGUUCAGAGAUGUGGGGAUAUAUUUUUCAAGACUAAGAUUGUUCUGUUGCUUAUGCUUAGCAGAAUUUGUUGCUGAUAAUUAUUACUAUUUUCUUUUGAUUGUAGUAGGGAUGAAUACUGAUUUUAUCUGGCAAUGAUAUGGGGAGGGCUAUCCCUAUUGCGCAGCCCAAACUUCCAUAUAAAAGAAAGAAACGUAUUUGAGCUAUAUUUUGGUCU
rnacentral:misc_RNA from 1 species